GCAAGGGGGCAGCAGGCCCGGGCAGGGCUGGGACAAGUGGCAGGAACUGCCGUGGUCACAGCUGAAUCCGAGCAGAGCCGGGAUCUAGGCAUUGGAGGCAGGUGACGUGGUGCCCGAUGCCCCCACGGUGCCGCCUCACGUAGUACAAGCGACUCUGAAGCAGGAAUCGCCCGCGGCAGGAGACCAAAGAAGAGUUUCUGGCUGUCCGCUGCGUGGCCCCUCUGGGGAGGUGGCGAUCCUGAGCGCUUGCGAUUUGCAGAAUCCCGUCACACCUGGGAUUGAGGUGCCUUUGAUCUGAAAAGAACACAAAUCCAUUCCACUCCCAGGGGACUCGAGCGCCGACCUUCCCUGUGCGUCAGCUGUGAGACUUCGAGAUUUGGAGAAUUGAGAGCGAGAUUGCCGACUCGGGUUCCAGUAUGAGCUCAUCCAGUGUUGCAGAGUGCCGAUGUCCCUACCAUGCCCCUUGUACACAUGAGGAAGUGAGGUGCAGAGAGGUUGAGGAAUUAGCCUGAAGUCAUGCACAGCUUGGAAGCGAUAAAGGCUCCCAGUAUCACCUGCUGACCACAGGACCAAACACAGAGAGACAUUCACUAUGUCCUUAAAAAUGCAGGCGCCUGACAACGGGGAGAGAUGAUGCCGAGACCAGAUAUGGUUGUGUGCUUUCUCCUACAUACCAGCUUCGUCGGUGUUUGUGGAAGGAAUGCAGGAUAGCACUGCUAAUACUCUCGGGGUGAACUGAUUUGAACCGUACACUGGAGCCCUCCUGCACAGUCCUCGGGCUGCCUCCUACACCUGGCAGAAGCAUCAGGACACCUGCAUGCAGCGUGUGGCGUGCAUGUGUGUGUGCCCAUGCACGCGCGACGUGUGCACCACUUCUGUGUGUGCGGCCUGACAUUAAACAAAACAUCCUCCCAUGGAUGAGCUGAGACAGCUGGCUUCUGGAGCUAGUUCUCCAUCACAGACCAAAGGCAGGACGAAUGGCAGCGAACAGCUGGGUGACAGCACUCGGUAUCUUCCUCCCUGUAGUUUGGUCCCUGGCCGCGGUGGCUUCUGUCUUCCAGCAGCGUGUCCAGUACUUCGGAAACGUUCUCUUCCUGCACAUCAGAAUAGUCGAAUGCCAUCCCAGAUUGACUAAAGACGGAAUAACGGGCUCCCAGUCCUCAGCCCCAAGGAGAGGACCGCCCAGGAGCCACUGAAGGCUGAGUGCACCGAGGCGAGAGCCUCCUUGUGACUGGGACGGGAGCCCAGCUCUGGGCUGGCAAAGGUGCAGGCAGCCAGCGAGGACUAGAGGUGGAGAGCCUGGUCCCUCUGUCUGUCCACGGCGUAGAGCGAGGCCUGGAACAGAGUGCUCCGCAGAUGUUUGCUGGCAGGGACAUCCGAACCUGCUUAGAAAGAGGAAAAGAGACACAGAAAGAGGGAGAGAGAGACAUCGAUCUGUCUUUCUAUAGAUACCUGCACUGGGGAGCAAACCCACAACCAAGGACCUCCGGUCUUGUCUCCUGGGUCAUGGUGCCUGGUGGUCUUAUUUCGGAGCUCUCGGAAUUGUGCUGGAUUUUCCCUCCUUGGGUUUUAGUUGGAGACGUCUGGUUGGACCUCCCGGGCUGAGCGCUCCAUGAACACGGUCCCUGUUCGAUCUUCUCUGCGGAGACACGAUUCCCACGGGGCCCGUCGCGAAGACCCUCAGCGCCGAGCCUGACUCCGCUCAAAUGA